GCUGGGUGUGGCGGCUUACACCUGUAAUCCCAGCACUUUGGGAGGCUGAGGCAGGUGGAUCACCUGAGGUCAGGAGUUCGAGACCAGCCUGACCAACAUGGAGAAAUCCUGUCUCUA
ensembl:misc_RNA Metazoa_SRP Metazoan signal recognition particle RNA